rnacentral:lncRNA from 1 species
GGUGGCUCUCGUUCCCAAAUAUUGAACCUCAGCCUUAUGCCUCGCCGGCACCGGAAUAAAACCCGUAGCCUGAACGGUGCUCGUCAUCGUGUUGGCGGCGUUCCACUGCAGCGGCGCACUUAUCCGAUAAUCAGAUGGCGCAAUAGCAGCUCCUAGGCCAACGAAUGGCAGGUCGGCUUCGAUGGUGGUGGGCACCCCCGCCGGAAAUGUGUAGCUCCGCCCAAAACUGUAACUUCUCGAGUCCUCAUACGUGAUCACCACCGCCAUGUUAGCAUCCUGGUCGGUGUCGUUAGGAAUCUCGG